AACGCUGGCGGCAGGCCUAACACAUGCAAGUCGAGCGGAUGACGGGAGCUUGCUCCUUGAUUCAGCGGCGGACGGGUGAGUAAUGCCUAGGAAUCUGCCUGGUAGUGGGGGACAACGUUUCGAAAGGAACGCUAAUACCGCAUACGUCCUACGGGAGAAAGCAGGGGACCUUCGGGCCUUGCGCUAUCAGAUGAGCCUAGGUCGGAUUAGCUAGUUGGUGGGGUAAUGGCUCACCAAGGCGACGAUCCGUAACUGGUCUGAGAGGAUGAUCAGUCACACUGGAACUGAGACACGGUCCAGACUCCUACGGGAGGCAGCAGUGGGGAAUAUUGGACAAUGGGCGAAAGCCUGAUCCAGCCAUGCCGCGUGUGUGAAGAAGGUCUUCGGAUUGUAAAGCACUUUAAGUUGGGAGGAAGGGCAGUAAGCUAAUACCUUGCUGUUUUGACGUUACCGACAGAAUAAGCACCGGCUAACUCUGUGCCAGCAGCCGCGGUAAUACAGAGGGUGCAAGCGUUAAUCGGAAUUACUGGGCGUAAAGCGCGCGUAGGUGGUUUGUUAAGUUGGAUGUGAAAGCCCCGGGCUCAACCUGGGAACUGCAUCCAAAACUGGCAAGCUAGAGUACGGUAGAGGGUGGUGGAAUUUCCUGUGUAGCGGUGAAAUGCGUAGAUAUAGGAAGGAACACCAGUGGCGAAGGCGACCACCUGGACUGAUACUGAC
rnacentral:rRNA from 1 species